AGGGCCUGGUCGCUAGUUCGGAUAUCGCUAGUCCGUCGUGUUUACUUCGGGUUAGUGGCGGACGGGUGAGUAACACGUGGGAACGUGCCUUUAGGUUCGGAAUAGCUCCUGGAAACGGGUGGUAAUGCCGAAUGUGCCCUUCGGGGGAAAGAUUUAUCGCCUUUAGAGCGGCCCGCGUCUGAUUAGCUAGUUGGUGAGGUAACGGCUCACCAAGGCGACGAUCAGUAGCUGGUCUGAGAGGAUGACCAGCCACACUGGGACUGAGACACGGCCCAGACCCCUACGGGAGGCAGCAGUGGGGAAUCUUGCACAAUGGGCGAAAGCCUGACGCAGCCAUGCCGCGUGAAUGAUGAAGGUCUUAGGAUUGUAAAAUUCUUUCACCGGGGACGAUAAUGACGGUACCCGGAGAAGAAGCCCCGGCUAACUUCGUGCCAGCAGCCGCGGUAAUACGAAGGGGGCUAGCGUUGCUCGGAAUUACUGGGCGUAAAGGGCGCGUAGGCGGAUCGUUAAGUCAGAGGUGAAAUCCCAGGGCUCAACCCUGGAAACUGCCUUUGAUACUGGCGAUCUUGAGUAUGAGAGAGGUAUGUGGAACUCCGAGUGUAGAGGUGAAAUUCGUAGAUAUUCGGAAGAACACCAGUGGCGAAGGCGACAUACUGGCUCAUUACUGACGCUGAGGCGCGAAAGCGUGGGGAGCAUACAGGAUUAGAUACCCUGGUAGUCCACGCGUAAACGAUGAUUGCUAGUUGUCGGGCUGCAUGCAGUUCGGUGACGCAGCUAACGCAUUAAGCAAUCGCUGGGGAGUACGGUCGCAAGAUUAAAACUCAAGGAUGACGGGGGCCCGCACAAGCGGUGG
rnacentral:rRNA from 1 species